ensembl:lncRNA
UCAGAAUCUACAGAAACAGCGGCGCCUGUCUUGUGUUGUGGACUGUUUUGCCUGUAAUUCUGUACAAUACGCGCAGGCAUAUCUCAUGAUCGCAUUGAUCGAUUUGAAUGGUUUGUUUUAAUCGUCUGAGCCUGUAGAAUUGUGGGAGCAUUUGUGGAAAUAACACCAUUCACCACACACCAUACGUGCGGGCAUGAAGGCUGUGUUACGGUAUGUUACGUCCCUGGUCUAGGGUCAGGGACAUAACAAAUGGGACAUAGGAGCAGCAACAACACUUAUGGCUAACCGUUUAUUACAAACAAGGACAUUGAAACAACAAAACACACACAAAACAGGUCUGGGCAGUCUAAGUUAUUCUUGUCUUCUGGUCACAAUCCUUCUUGCUUCACACCAACACUCUCUUCGCAUCACCAACAACACUCUCUCCUCACACCACAUCCUCCUCUUGUCCCAAAGCAGACGCCAUUUUGAGUCCUCUUCCCUAUUACAGCCCACCAAUCAUGGCAGGAAGUGGGAGGAGUCCAAUCAUGGAGCCACCUGCAACAUUACGGAGAGAGAGAGAGAGAGACACACAAAGACAUGGUCAAGCAGAGUUUUUUGGAUGAUGAGUCUCAGCUUGUGGAGAAACUACAGCAGCAGAUGCUGGAUCAGGAAGAGCUUUCAAAUGCUAAUGAGGAGGAGAGAGGCGGGAUGAGGAGGGGAGCGACCUAUAGAAGUUGAGGGGACAUUAGUGGAAAUGACAUCAUCACACCAUUCACCAAUUACAAUGUCUGGUGCAGACAGUUUUAAUUCUAUUCAUUAUUCUAAAAUCACUGUUUUUACAGCCUUUUGCAUGAAGUAACUAAACAAAUACAUUUGUGCUCAUUUUCAGAGAGCAACUGCAAUGAUGACAUAAGGGAACAAAUUCCAGAUCAGACUGUUUGAACUGCCGCUCUCUUCUUCAUCAUCUGGAAACGACUCUCUUGCUGCUCAUUUUUCUGUUCCAGCAACAUCCUGAGUGUCGCAGAUAUGCUGGACAAUCUAGGGAUAAACUAAACAUCUAGGUCACCAUCCCACAUGCCUCACAUCCUCUUUGCAUUGUGGUCUAUCCAUAUCAGCUAUGGCUCAUGUUUUUCUUCAGCCAAUUAACAUUUAUUUGUUCAAUUUCAGGUCGACACUUUUUUUUGUGAAGUGAUUGUCAAUGUGAAACCACAGCACAGCACAUGGUGACACAACAAAAUGUGUCCUCUGCUUUUAACCAUCACCCUUGGUGAGCGGUGGGCAGCCAGUAGUGCAUGCCUGCAGGAAAGUUCCAUUUGCACUGAGAGAGAAAUUUAAGAAACAAACUUGCAUGCAUGGAAAGUUAUUGAACGUUAUAAAGGAAGAUUGAUGAACUGACUGAUUGGGUGAGAUCUCAUACUGCAGAAGACAAAUGAUGAAUUACAAAUAUGUUUGGAUGCUAGAGAUGCUGUGACGCUAGCUGUGAUUUCUUAUUUUUCCCUUCGACUGCUGUGCAACGUCUCAGAUAGCCAGAGAGCAGGGGGAGAAGUUCUUUUGGGUGUGGAAGAAAGAGGGCAGAGAUGAUCCAUAGAAAGGAAAAGUGAGGAGAAUGUUAGUGGCGGUUUUCAAGGGUAAGGAGAAGAACGAGUCAGAGAUAUGAAAGAUGUGAAAGAGUGCAGGAAGGUGAGACCGAGUGAAGGUUAUGUAGAAUGAGUAAUUAAUGGUGGUCAGUCUUGGAUCCGAUAGGUAAAGUGAGGGUGAAGGACAGAAUGUGGUGGUCAGAGAUGUGAAGUGGAGUGGAAGAAAGGACGGUAGGUGGAGAUGGACGAAUGAAGACCAGGUCCAGGUCCAUUCCCUUUCCUCUUUUGUUGCUGUUGGCCCAGGAUAAAGAGUGGAGAUUAAUGAGGCCCAAUAUAUGGUGCGAGGCAUGUAAGACAUAAAAUAUCCGUACAGGUUGCAUCAACAGAAAAAACUGCUCACAUUCCCUUUAAAUGUUAGUUACUUUUACCUGAGCAUGCAUGUCUUACGAAUAAGUGAAGCGCUAUAAUAAAAUUUCAUACUGCAUCACAUGAACUAAUAUAAAGUUAUUCCGUCAGGUGUUUGUUUUUUUUCUAGCAAACUCCAUGCAGGAUUUCAUGUGUCUUGCUCCGAGGAGAGGCUUUUGUCGGGCCACUCUUCCAUAAAGCACUGUAUAUGGAGAAGAUCCGUAGAGAGGAUCGUGAGGUCCUGGACGUAGCUGAGUUGGUCACUGUAACAUGGAUGAGAUGCUGCUGCUGGGGUCUCUGCUGUCUCCCACAGUGAAAACCCUCAGGUCUAGCAGAACUACAUGAUGGACCUCCUCCCUCCUGCUGUAAUCCAAGACAAGUUGACAAGUUAGGCCUUAUCAGGCUUCUUAGUUUUUGUAACCUCAAAAUCAAUAGAAAUCGAACGAGAAUUGCUGGUGUCUUCCUCCUGUAAGUCGCUUUGGAUAAAAGCGUCUGCAAAAUAAAGUAAAGUAAAGUAAAGUAAUCCUCCACUUGACAUAGGAACAGGCCAGUUGAUGUUCAAACUCACUGGCGUUUAAAACUCUUCAGCGUUUACAGCGGUGAUCCCCUAAUUCUUUAUCCCCCUAAUUACAGAAUUUCAAUAAUCAACCAAUGUCAGUAUGUAACUUAAUCGUUCAAAUGUUACAUGAAGCACCAGGUUCCGGAGAAACGUUAUUUCCUUUCACUAUGUACUGUCUUAACAUGUAUAUAGCUGAAAUGAGAAUAAAGCUCAACUUCAACUUCAAUGUAGUUGCAUUCAGUGACAUGUAAGUUCUGUAUGUUACUUUAUAGUUUUAUUGUGGCAUCAGGAUGAUAAGACAGGAGAUGCUUCAGUCGUCUUGAGGUCCGCAGAUGGAGCCAACAG